CCUACGGGAGGCAGCAGUGGGGAAUUUUGGACAAUGGGCGAAAGCCUGAUCCAGCAAUGCCGCGUGAGUGAAGAAGGCCUUCGGGUUGUAAAGCUCUUUUGUCAGGGAAGAAACGGUGGGUUCUAAUACAGCCUGCUAAUGACGGUACCUGAAGAAUAAGCACCGGCUAACUACGUGCCAGCAGCCGCGGUAAUACGUAGGGUGCAAGCGUUAAUCGGAAUUACUGGGCGUAAAGCGUGCGCAGGCGGUUCUGUAAGUCUGUCGUGAAAUCCCCGGGCUCAACCUGGGAAUGGCGAUGGAGACUGCAAGGCUAGAGUUUGGCAGAGGGGGGUAGAAUUCCACGUGUAGCAGUGAAAUGCGUAGAUAUGUGGAGGAACACCGAUGGCGAAGGCAGCCCCCUGGGUCAAGACUGACGCUCAUGCACGAAAGCGUGGGGAGCAAACAGGAUUAGAUACCCUGGUAGUCCACGCCCUAAACGAUGUCUACUAGUUGUCGGGUCUUAAUUGACUUGGUAACGCAGCUAACGCGUGAAGUAGACCGCCUGGGGAGUACGGUCGCAAGAUUAAAACCUUAAAUGAAAUUUGGUACGCGUGAGACGUAGACCGACGGACGACGACGAGGGAGGAGG
rnacentral:rRNA from 1 species